rnacentral:rRNA from 1 species
GAUGAACGCUGGCGGCGUGCCUAAUACAUGCAAGUCGAACGGAGAUCUAGUAAUAGGUCUUAGUGGCGAACGGGUGAGUAACGCGUUGGUGACCUGCCCCGAAGAGGGGGAUAACAGCUCGAAAGGGCUGCUAAUACCCCAUGAGAUCUUACUGGUUAGAGUGGUAAGAUGAAAGGAGUAAUCCGCUUUGGGAGGGGCCUGCGUCCCAUCAGCUAGUUGGUAGGGUAAAAGCCUACCAAGGCGAAGACGGGUAGGGGACCUGAGAGGGUGACCCCCCACACUGGCACUGAAACACGGGCCAGACACCUACGGGUGGCAG